rnacentral:rRNA from 1 species
CCCCUUUCCGUAGGUGAACCUGCGGCAAGGAUCAUUACCGUAGAGUUUGUAGACUUCGGUCUGCUACCUCUUACCCAUGUCUUUUGAGUACCUUCGUUUCCUCGGCGGGUCCGCCCGCCGAUUGGACAACAUUCAAACCCUUUGCAGUUGUCAAUCAGCGUACUGAAAAAACAUAAUAGUUACAACUUUCAACAACGGAUCUCUUGGUUCUGGCAUCGAUGAAGAACGCAGCGAAAUGCGAUAAGUAGUGUGAAUUGCAGAAUUCAGUGAAUCAUCGAAUCUUUCGAACGCACAUUGCGCCCCUUGGUAUUCCAUGGGGCAUGCCUGUUCGAGCGUCAUUUGUACCUUCAAGCUCUGCUUGGUGUUGGGUGUUUUGUCUCGCCUCUGCGUGUAGACUCGCCUUAAAACAAUUGGCACGCCGGCGUAUUGAUUUCGGAGCGCAGUACAUCUCGCGCUUUGCACUCAUAACGGCGACGUCCAAAAGUACAUUUUUACACUCUGAACCUCGAUCAGUAGGAUACCCGCUGACU